GCCGACCCAGAUCGAUCCGGCGCCUGGUCGAUCCCGUGCGAGCCAGGGACAUCACGCGCGAGCCCAGGACCCCGAAGAACCCUACCGCAGCCCUUCUCCGUCCUUUCCUCGUCCGCACGAGCAGCUAGGGCGAAACGCAUCUCGCGGUGGAGCUCGAGCCGCCGCCGUAUUCGCCGGUCGUUUCGGCCGCCCGGAGUGAGCCGCCCGAGUGAACCCGACGCCGCCGGAGCAGCGGCUGUUCACGUUGUCACCGUCGCCCGCAGAGCAUGCCCCGUCGUCGUUUGACCUCACCACUGCGUCCGCAACUCGAAGCCGCCUCCGCCCGUAACCUCACCUUCGCCGGAGACCCGCCGGAGAGCCGCCGCCACCUACGCCCGAAGCCGCCACCGUUUUCUCUGCUUUGCUGAUUGUCCGGAGCGUGACGCGAGCUAUUGUCAGGAGUGUGACUUUUUGAACCAGAACCAAG